rnacentral:tRNA from 1 species
GAGGGCUUGGCCGAGUGGUUAAGGCGUCAGAUUUAGGUUUCUCAGUUUCUUCAAGCUGUUAAAAUACUCUGAUAUCUACGGAUGCGCGAGUUCGAAUCUCGUGGUCCUCA